rnacentral:rRNA from 1 species
GAUGAACGCUAGCGGCAGGCUUAACACAUGCAAGUCGAGGGGCAGCACGAUGUGGCAAUACAUGGGUGGCGACCGGCGCACGGGUGCGUAACACGUAUGGAAUCUGCCCUGUACUGGGGGAUAGCCCUCCGAAAGGAGGAUUAAUACCCCAUAAUAACUUGAGUGGCAUCCCUUGGGUUUGAAAGCUCCGGCGGUACAGGAUGACCAUGCGCACGAUUAGCUAGUAGGUGAGGUAACGGCUCACCUAGGCUACGAUCGUUAGGGGGCCUGAGAGGGUUAUCCCCCACACUGGUACUGAGACACGGACCAGACUCCUACGGGAGGCAGCAGUGAGGAAUAUUGCGCAAUGGAGGCAACUCUGACGCAGCCAUGCCGCGUGCAGGAAGAAGGCGCUACGCGUUGUAAACUGCUUUUAACCGGGAAGAAACCCCAGGACGUGUCCUGGGUUGACGGUACCGGAGGAAUAAGCACCGGCUAACUUCGUGCCAGCAGCCGCGGUAAUAC